AUACCCUAUUAUUUCUUAUUUAAAGAAGGUGAAGGAAAAACUGGAGUAGUAAUAGAUAUAGUCUUGAAACUUAAAGAAUUUGGCGGUAUUAUAGUCUGUUUAGAGGAAUCUGUUUUGUAAUCGAUAGUCCGCGUUGAACCUUACUUAAAUUAAUUAUUUGUAUAUCGCUGUUUGGAAUGUAUUUUUAGAUUAAUAUUUUCUAAAUUCUUAAAAAUAUUAAGAAUAACUUCAAGUCAAGGUGCAAUAUAUUUAAGUUGAAUAAUGGAUUACAAUAAAUUUUAUUUAUUAUGGAUUUAGGUUUAAAAUGUUAACUGAUAUGAAGGUGGAUUUAAUUGUAAUUUAUUGAAGAUUUCUUAAAUGAUUAGUUAGCUCUAUAAUAUGUACACAUCGCCC
rnacentral:rRNA from 1 species